rnacentral:rRNA from 1 species
GACGUAGGUGGCGAACGUUAUCCGGAAUUAUUGGGCGUAAAGGGUGCGUAGGUGGCCUGACAAGUUAUCAGUGGCAAAUCCAGGCUCAACCUCGUGGAAACUGGUAAUACUGUUCGGCUUGAGUACAGGAGAGGUUAACGGAACUCUAUGUGGAGCGGUAAAAUGCACAGAUAUAUAGAAGAACAUCAAGAAAGGCGAAGGCAGUUAACUAUUCUGUUACUGACGCUGAGGCACGAAAGCGUGGGGAGCAAAACGG